rnacentral:rRNA from 1 species
GACGAACGCUGGCGGCGUGCUUAACACAUGCAAGUCGAGCGGUAAGGCCCUUCGGGGUACACGAGCGGCGAACGGGUGAGUAACACGUGGGCGACCUGCCCCUCACUCUGGGAUAAGCCCGGGAAACUGGGUCUAAUACCGGAUAUGACCUUCCUCUGCAUGGGGGUUGGUGGAAAGUUUUUCGGUGAGGGAUGGGCCCGCGGCCUAUCAGCUUGUUGGUGGGGUGAUGGCCCACCAAGGCGACGACGGGUAGCCGGCCUGAGAGGGCGACCGGCCACACUGGGACUGAGACACGGCCCAGACUCCUACGGGAGGCAGCAGUGGGGAAUAUUGCGCAAUGGGCGAAAGCCUGACGCAGCGACGCCGCGUGGGGGAUGACGGCCUUCGGGUUGUAAACCUCUUUCGCCAGGGACGAAGCGCAAGUGACGGUACCUGGAUAAGAAGCACCGGCCAACUACGUGCCAGCAGCCGCAGUAAUAC